UACAGAGGUCUCAAGCGUUGUUCGGAUUCAUUGGGCGUAAAGGGUGCGUAGGUGGCGCCGUUAGUCAGGUGUGAAAUUUCGGAGCUUAACUCCGAAACUGCAUUUGAUACUGCGGCGCUUGAGGACUGGAGAGGAGACUGGAAUUUACGGUGUAGCAGUGAAGUGCGUAGAUAUCGUAAGGAAGACCAGUGGCGAAGGCGGGUCUCUGGACAGAUCCUGACACUGAGGCACGAAGGCCAGGGGAGCAAACGGG
rnacentral:rRNA from 1 species